CCAUCAUCAUGUGCCGGCCAAAAACUUCAAUGCGGAGGCAAGGCCAAGCCAAGUACGGGGCAUUGCCGUCAUUCGCAAACGCCGGAAGCGGAACAUCGUGCGCGGACGAUGGUUGACGAAGGACGACGAAGCGGUUGUUGUAAAUCUCGCGAAUGCAUGUAGUUAGGUAAGCACAUUUCUGUUCGCACAUCCUGUUCUUUGCGAUUUGAGCGUGGUGCACCGUAUGCCUGGUUUUGUUCAACUUGACACCAGUAAAUCGUGGCUCGCGUUUGUUGUGAAGUGUCUCCCUAGUUCUGUGUGUACGUCCUGGCUCGUAGGGUGAUCAAGGCGCUCUUGUUGUAAUGUAUCGUUGCGGAAGGUGCCCAUGUGUUUUUAACACUCUGAUGGGCUAGUUGACCACCGUAGAGGUGUACAUGAAGCGAGCAGAAUACCGUGCUGUCAUGCAUUAUGUGUGUACACGGCGGCGACCUAUGCAAAACUCGGAUGUCACAUUUUGGGGCGUUACAAGAACACACCAGGGCGGUCGCCUCGAAUCGAUUUGCUCUCCGAAACCACGAAAGUAUGUCACGUCCAUUCGUGCUCGCGUCAGUUCACUACGAAUAUAGAGAUAAUGUCACAUAUGAAGCAGCACAUACGAAAGGGUCAUGAUCAGAUGUCCUUAUGAACGCUUCCAGAAGAAGUUCCGUGCCGUCUCCGCGCUUUGUGUGCACCUUCUUGUUCUUUCUUUGAAAAAAUAAAACUGAGUCUAAUUUCCUUUCUCUUUGAAGUGUUUUCAUGCCAGAACUGACUGAUGGGUGCACAUGGUUCCUUCGUAUGUUCUUCCUUCGAAAAAAUAAACCAUUAGUAUAACUGCAUGUCAACUGCCCUGCUCCCUGUAACAGUUUCCUUUCUCUUUGCAGUAUUGUGAUGCCAGACCUGACUGAUGGGUGCACAUGGUUCCUUCGUAUGUUCUUCUUUUGAACAAAAUAGACGGGUUUUCAUGCCAGAGGUGACUGGCGCAUUUUCAUCACUAUGUACAUAGAAAAUAAAUCUCAAUGUGACAAACAUCACAA